rnacentral:rRNA from 1 species
UGGGGAAUCUUGCACAAUGGGGGAAACCCUGAUGCAGCGACGCCGCGUGAGCGAUGAAGGUUUUCGAAUCGUAAAGCUCUGUCCUAUGGGAAGAUAAUGACGGUACCAUGGGAGGAAGCCCCGGCUAACUACGUGCCAGCAGCCGCGGUAAUACGUAGGGGGCGAGCGUUGUCCGGAAUUACUGGGCGUAAAGGGUUCGCAGGCGGCAUGGCAAGUCCGAUGUAAAAGGCGAAGGCUCAACCUUCGUAAGCAUCGGAAACUGUCAAGCUUGAGUGAAGGAGAGGCAAGUGGAAUUCCGAGUGUAGCGGUGGAAUGCGUAGAUAUUAGGAGGAAUACCGGUGGCGAAGGCGACUUGCUGGACUUCAACUGACGCUGAGGAACGAAAGCGUGGGUAGCAAACAGG